rnacentral:rRNA from 1 species
AUGGGCUUUGGACAAGGUGUGUCGCCAUGGCCAUGCCAUGGCGCGCCGUCGUUGAACGGGCGGCGGGUGGGCCGACGGCGAUCAGCUGACGCGCACGGAGCCGCGCCGCCGCUCCUCGUACCAGCAGACGCAGCUGAGCGCGACGAGCACCUCCACGAUCGCCGCCUCCGCCUUGUCCUUGUCCGCCCACCGCAGCGUCUGCAGCGCGUACACGCGCGUGCCGCCGUCGAACCGCCGCGUCCGGUCCAUGUUCCGCUCCGACUGCCACUGCACCGUGUCGCGCGCCAUCGGGCCCAGCCACGCCAUGAUGCGCUCCACCGCCUCCUUCCACCCCUCCGCCAGCCCGGCGUCCAGCGGCCCCGGGUCCCGCCACCAGUCGCGCAGCUUCGACCGCACCGCCGCGCGGAGCUUCCCCGGCAGCAUCUCGUACAUCUCCGCCCGCUCCGCGUUCGCCUCCUCCUGCCGCCCCUCAGCCUCCAUCUGCAGCAGCUCCUCCGCCGACACGAUCACGUUCGCGUACUGCUGGUCCAGCCCCGCGCCGCCCACCGUGCUGCCCGGCGGGUCCAGGAGCUUGCGCCAGUCCACGCCGCCCUUCUGCCCGGGCAGCGGUCUCUGGCCGAUGAUCGGGCACGAGCUGCUCAGCUGCUGCAUCGGCGGGUGGACACGGGACGGCGCCCCCGCCCCCUCCCGCUCCCGCCGCGUGAUCGGCCCCGACGACGCCUUUGUCUUCCCCGUCCGCGGGCUCAUCAGCAGCUUGGACAGCCUGGUCUGGACGCUGUCGGCGGAGGUGGACGGCAUCGGCGGCGGGAGCCCCGGCACGAACUGGCCGAAGACGGCGCAGAUGCGGACGAACACGGCGCACGCGGCGCGCGCCAUGAGUCCCACGGCCUUCUCGUAGCUCUGGCUCCACAGGGACUCCUCCUUGAGCCGCCGCACCUUGAGCAGCUGCGUCUUGAUCUCCUGCUUGAGCGACUCGGCGCCCAUCGAGUCGCCGGCCUGCGGCGGGUCCGCGAGCUUCAUCGGAAUCGGCCCGCUGAGGCGGCUCCAGCCGCGGACGGUGAGCUUCCGCUCGGCGGACUCGAGCUCGUCGAGCGCCUCCAUCUCGGAGCAGAGCUUGGACGUGGCCGCCACGAGGCGCUCCAUCUUCUUGGCCUUGACCUUGAGCCCCUUGGCGGCGAGCAGGUCGAGGCGCGCGUCGUGCGCGCCGGCCUUGACACUCGCGUACACCCCGGCGAAGUCGAUGCCGCAGCGCAGGCCGAGGCGCGCGACGGCGGCCGCCGCGGCGUCGAGCGACAGGACCAGCUCGGCGCACGCCAGCCGGAGGAGGAACGCCUGGUCGGUGGAGUUGAGGUAGGCCACGCCCGGCGAGCGCAUGGCGUCGGAGCGCAGCCGGGAGACCUCCUGCUCCGAGAGCGAGCGGUGCAGCGAGAGCAGCUUGGACAUGGCCGCGCCCGCCUCGAACGCCAGUAUGCCCAGCGCCGCCUGCGGCACCGCCGGCAGCCGGAAGUCCACGGGCAGCCACGAGGCCGCCUUGUGCGCAACCAUCGGUCGGUCGACGGUAUGCUCCUUGCCUCGCUCCCUCCCACCUAG